rnacentral:rRNA from 1 species
UACGGGGGGGGCAAGCGUUGUUCGGAAUUACUGGGCGUAAAGGGCUCGUAGGCGGCCAACUAAGUCGGAUGUGAAAUCCCCAGGCUCAACUUGGGAACUGCAUCCGAUACUGGAUGGCUUGAAUUCGGGAGAGGGAUGCAGAAUUCCAGGUGUAGCGGUGAAAUGCGUAGAUAUCAGGAGGAACACCGGUGGCGAAGGCGGGUCUCUGGGCAGUAACUGACGCUGAGGAGCGAAAGCGUGGGGAGCGAACAGG